UAGAUGGCGACCGGCGCACGGGUGAGUAACACGUAUCCAACCUGCCGAUGACUCGGGGAUAGCCUUUCGAAAGAAAGAUUAAUACCCGAUGGCAUAGUUCUUCCGCAUGGUAGAACUAUUAAAGAAUUUCGGUCAUCGAUGGGGAUGCGUUCCAUUAGGUUGUUGGCGGGGUAACGGCCCACCAAGCCUUCGAUGGAUAGGGGUUCUGAGAGGAAGGUCCCCCACAUUGGAACUGAGACACGGUCCAAACUCCUACGGGAGGCAGCAUG
rnacentral:rRNA from 1 species